GCUAGCGUAGCUUAAUGUAAAGCAUAACACUGAAGAUGUUAAGAUGGGCCCUGAUAAGCUCCGCAUGCA
rnacentral:tRNA from 1 species